AGAGAGAGACAUGCGCGCAUAUCAAUAAGCGGAGGAAAAGAAACUAGCAAGGAUUCCCUAGUAACGGCGAGUGAAGCGGGAAGAGCUCAAAUUUGAAAUCUUAAAGGUUUUCCCUUGACGAAUUGUAGUUUAAAGAAGUGUUUUCUGUUGAAGUUUUGGUAAAAGUUCUUUGGAAUAGGACAUCAUAGAGGGUGAGAAUCCCGUAUUUGACCGUUACUUUCAACUUUGUGAUACACUUUCAAAGAGUCGGAUUGUUUGGGAAUGCAGUCCAAAAUGGGUGGUAAAUUUCAUCUAAAGCUAAAUAUUGGCGAGAGACCGAUAGCGAACAAGUACCGUGAGGGAAAAAUGAAAAGAACUUUGAAAAGAGAGUUAAACAGUACGUGAAAUUGUCAAAAGGGAAGCGUUUGACACCAGUGUUGUUUUUCUGAAAAUCAAUUAAAGAACUGUUUAUGCUAAGCUGUUUAGACUUUAUCAGCUAAUCUGUUUAGUUUUGAGCUUUUCUUUAAUGCACUUUUCAGUUAACAAGUCAACAUCAAUUUCUUUUGCUGUAAAAAAGCUUGAGGAAGGUGGCUUGAGAUUCGUCUUAAGUGUUUAUAGCCUCUUGCCUAUGCAGUCGGAGAGAUUGAGGUCUGCAGCGUAGAUCCUUCGGGGCUAAAUGCAUUUGUGCUAAGUUAUAGCAUUUUAUAGACAACUUGUUGACUAUGAUUUGUCUUGUAGCUUACUCGCUUAUGUUAUUUUACCUACGCUUAGGAUGUUGAGCGCAUGUCUCUCUCU
rnacentral:rRNA from 1 species